GAACUGGUGCUUCUAAGCACCAAAAUUAUAUACAUAGAUAUCUAA
rfam:Aptenodytes forsteri contig71839, whole genome shotgun sequence.